AUUGAACGCUGGCGGCAGGCUUAACACAUGCAAGUCGAGCGGAGAUGAGGUGCUUGCACCUUAUCUUAGCGGCGGACGGGUGAGUAAUGCUUAGGAAUCUGCCUAUUAGUGGGGGACAACAUUCCGAAAGGAAUGCUAAUACCGCAUACGUCCUACGGGAGAAAGCAGGGGCUCUUCGGACCUGGCGCUAAUAGAUGAGCCUAAGUCGGAUUAGCUAGUUGGUGGGGUAAAGGCCUACCAAGGCGACGAUCUGUAGCGGGUCUGAGAGGAUGAUACGCCACACUGGGACUGAGACACGGCCCGGACUCCUACGGGAGGCAGCAGGGGGGAAUAUUGGACAAUGGGGGGAACCCUGAUCCAGCCAUGCCGCGUGUGUGAAGAAGGCCUUAUGGUUGUAAAGCACUUUAAGCGAGGAGGAGGCUACUGAGACUAAUACUCUUGGAUAGUGGACGUUACUCGCAGAAUAAGCACCGGCUAACUCUGUGCCAGCCGCCGCGGUAA
rnacentral:rRNA from 1 species